rnacentral:rRNA from 1 species
CCUACGGGAGGCAGCAGUGGGGAAUAUUGGACAAUGGGGGCAACCCUGAUCCAGCCAUGCCGCGUGUGUGAAGAAGGCCCUCGGGUUGUAAAGCACUUUCAGUGAGGAAGAACGCCUGGUGGUUAAUACCCAUCAGGAAAGACAUCACUCACAGAAGAAGCACCGGCUAACUCCGUGCCAGCAGCCGCGGUAAUACGGAGGGUGCGAGCGUUAAUCGGAAUUACUGGGCGUAAAGCGCGCGUAGGUGGCUUGAUAAGCCGGUUGUGAAAGCCCCGGGCUCAACCUGGGAACGGCAUCCGGAACUGUCAAGCUAGAGUGCAGGAGAGGAAGGUAGAAUUCCCGGUGUAGCGGUGAAAUGCGUAGAGAUCGGGAGGAAUACCAGUGGCGAAGGCGGUCUUCUGGACUGACACUGACACUGAGGUGCGAAAGCGUGGGUAGCAAACAGGAUUAGAUACCCCGGUAGUC